GGUCCACCUUGAGAUCCUGUGUUGGAGAACAAUUUAGUCAUGUUGGAAACACAGGAGCCAGCCCCACUGUUGCUAUGCUUGAUCUCCAGCGCUUGGUGUAUAUCUGUUGUGCUUGUCUGCGUCUACUAAGGAUCUAUAUCAAUGAAGUCUAUCCAAAUUCAGUGCGAACAUUGAGAGCCAAUGGCGAGAAAGGCUGCCUAGCAGAGAGUGUAGCAGAUGUCAGAG